CAGAGCCCUGAAGUGCUCACUACACGGUAGGAGGCCGACUGGAGAGGUCCCAGGCUCCCUUGGCUGCGGUGCCAGGACUCUGUGGGUCUGCUGAGUGACCUGGACCUGCCCUUCAGUUCAAGUCAUGGGUCUCUCAAGCACUACUGCCACCUGCUCUCCACCAUCCUGAACUGCGCCCUGACCUCAUGAGCUAGAAUAAACCCUCCCUCCACUAAGUUGCUCUUGUUGGCAUUUUAACACAGC
rnacentral:lncRNA from 1 species